GACGAACGCUGGCGGCGUGCCUAAUACAUGCAAGUAGAACGCUGAAGGAGGAGCUUGCUUCUCUGGAUGAGUUGCGAACGGGUGAGUAACGCGUAGGUAACCUGCCUGGUAGCGGGGGAUAACUAUUGGAAACGAUAGCUAAUACCGCAUAAUAGCAGUUGUUGCAUGACAACUGUUUGAAAGGUGCAAUUGCACCACUACCAGAUGGACCUGCGUUGUAUUAGCUAGUUGGUGGGGUAACGGCUCACCAAGGCGACGAUACAUAGCCGACCUGAGAGGGUGAUCGGCCACACUGGGACUGAGACACGGCCCAGACUCCUACGGGAGGCAGCAGUAGGGAAUCUUCGGCAAUGGACGGAAGUCUGACCGAGCAACGCCGCGUGAGUGAAGAAGGUUUUCGGAUCGUAAAGCUCUGUUGUAAGAGAAGAGCGAGUGUGAGAGUGGAAAGUUCACACUGUGACGGUAUCUUACCAGAAAGGGACGGCUAACUACGUG
rnacentral:rRNA from 1 species